AACGAACGCUGGCGGCAUGCCUAACACAUGCAAGUCGAACGAGACCUUCGGGUCUAGUGGCGCACGGGUGCGUAACGCGUGGGAACCUGCCCUUAGGUUCGGAAUAACUCCCCGAAAGGGGUGCUAAUACCGGAUAAUGUCUUCGGACCAAAGAUUUAUCGCCUUUGGAUGGGCCCGCGUUGGAUUAGCUAGUUGGUAGGGUAAAAGCCUACCAAGGCGACGAUCCAUAGCUGGUCUGAGAGGAUGAUCAGCCACACUGGGACUGAGACACGGCCCAGACUCCUACGGGAGGCAGCAGUGGGGAAUAUUGGACAAUGGGCGAAAGCCUGAUCCAGCAAUGCCGCGUGAGUGAUGAAGGCCUUAGGGUUGUAAAGCUCUUUUACCCGGGAUGAUAAUGACAGUACCGGGAGAAUAAGCGCCGACUAACUCCGUG
rnacentral:rRNA from 1 species